rnacentral:piRNA from 1 species
ACCAAUUGUUCAAAUGCUUGCACAUAUAGGU